CGUACUCAAUUUAAAAGAAGAAAAAGAGAGAAAAAAAGGCUGAAGUGGCAAAGCAUCAGGUACAUCCUUUUUUCUUUUCUUUUCGGCCACUCCCAUUUUUCUUCUUGCUUACCCUUCUCGCUUCU
rnacentral:ribozyme from 1 species